rnacentral:rRNA from 1 species
AGCUCAAAUUUAUAAUCUGGCACCUUCGGUGUCCGAGUUGUAAUCUCUAGAAAUGUUUUCCGCGUUGGACCGCACACAAGUCUGUUGGAAUACAGCGGCAUAGUGGUGAGACCCCCGUAUAUGGUGCGGACGCCCAGCGCUUUGUGAUACAUUUUCGAAGAGUCGAGUUGUUUGGGAAUGCAGCUCAAAUUGGGUGGUAAAUUCCAUCUAAAGCUAAAUAUUGGCGAGAGACCGAUAGCGAACAAGUACCGUGAGGGAAAGAUGAAAAGCACUUUGGAAAGAGAGUUAACAGUACGUGAAAUUGUUGGAAGGGAAACGCUUGAAGUCAGACUUGCUUGCUGAGCAAUCGGUUUGCAGGCCAGCAUCAGUUUUCCGGGAUGGAUAAUGGUAGAGAGAAGGUAGCAGUUUCGGCUGUGUUAUAGCUCUCUGCUGGAUACAUCUUGGGGGACUGAGGAACGCAGUGUGCCUUUGGCGGGGGUUUCGACCUCUUCACACUUAGGAUGCUGGUGGAAUGGCUUUAAACGACCCGUCUUGAAACACGGACCA